UACGGGGGGGGCAAGCGUUGUUCGGAAUUACUGGGCGUAAAGGGCCAGUAGGCGGCCAACUAAGUCGGAUGUGAAAUCCCCCAGGCUUAACCUGGGAACUGCAUCCGAUACUGGAUGGCUUGAGUUUGGGAGAGGGAUGCGGAAUUCCAGGUGUAGCGGUGAAAUGCGUAGAUAUCUGGAGGAACACCGGUGGCGAAAGGCGG
rnacentral:rRNA from 1 species